rnacentral:rRNA from 8 species
UUAAAUUGAAGAGUUUGAUCAUGGCUCAGAUUGAACGCUGGCGGCAGGCCUAACACAUGCAAGUCGAACGGUAACAGGAAACAGCUUGCUGUUUCGCUGACGAGUGGCGGACGGGUGAGUAAUGUCUGGGAAACUGCCUGAUGGAGGGGGAUAACUACUGGAAACGGUAGCUAAUACCGCAUAACGUCGCAAGACCAAAGAGGGGGACCUUCGGGCCUCUUGCCAUCGGAUGUGCCCAGAUGGGAUUAGCUAGUAGGUGGGGUAACGGCUCACCUAGGCGACGAUCCCUAGCUGGUCUGAGAGGAUGACCAGCCACACUGGAACUGAGACACGGUCCAGACUCCUACGGGAGGCAGCAGUGGGGAAUAUUGCACAAUGGGCGCAAGCCUGAUGCAGCCAUGCCGCGUGUAUGAAGAAGGCCUUCGGGUUGUAAAGUACUUUCAGCGGGGAGGAAGGGAGUAAAGUUAAUACCUUUGCUCAUUGACGUUACCCGCAGAAGAAGCACCGGCUAACUCCGUGCCAGCAGCCGCGGUAAUACGGAGGGUGCAAGCGUUAAUCGGAAUUACUGGGCGUAAAGCGCACGCAGGCGGUUUGUUAAGUCAGAUGUGAAAUCCCCGGGCUCAACCUGGGAACUGCAUCUGAUACUGGCAAGCUUGAGUCUCGUAGAGGGGGGUAGAAUUCCAGGUGUAGCGGUGAAAUGCGUAGAGAUCUGGAGGAAUACCGGUGGCGAAGGCGGCCCCCUGGACGAAGACUGACGCUCAGGUGCGAAAGCGUGGGGAGCAAACAGGAUUAGAUACCCUGGUAGUCCACGCCGUAAACGAUGUCGACUUGGAGGUUGUGCCCUUGAGGCGUGGCUUCCGGAGCUAACGCGUUAAGUCGACCGCCUGGGGAGUACGGCCGCAAGGUUAAAACUCAAAUGAAUUGACGGGGGCCCGCACAAGCGGUGGAGCAUGUGGUUUAAUUCGAUGCAACGCGAAGAACCUUACCUGGUCUUGACAUCCACAGAACUUUCCAGAGAUGGAUUGGUGCCUUCGGGAACUGUGAGACAGGUGCUGCAUGGCUGUCGUCAGCUCGUGUUGUGAAAUGUUGGGUUAAGUCCCGCAACGAGCGCAACCCUUAUCCUUUGUUGCCAGCGGUCCGGCCGGGAACUCAAAGGAGACUGCCAGUGAUAAACUGGAGGAAGGUGGGGAUGACGUCAAGUCAUCAUGGCCCUUACGACCAGGGCUACACACGUGCUACAAUGGCGCAUACAAAGAGAAGCGACCUCGCGAGAGCAAGCGGACCUCAUAAAGUGCGUCGUAGUCCGGAUUGGAGUCUGCAACUCGACUCCAUGAAGUCGGAAUCGCUAGUAAUCGUGGAUCAGAAUGCCACGGUGAAUACGUUCCCGGGCCUUGUACACACCGCCCGUCACACCAUGGGAGUGGGUUGCAAAAGAAGUAGGUAGCUUAACCUUCGGGAGGGCGCUUACCACUUUGUGAUUCAUGACUGGGGUGAAGUCGUAACAAGGUAACCGUAGGGGAACCUGCGGUUGGAUCACCUCCUUACCUUAAAGAAGC